GACGAACGCUGGCGGCGUGCUUAACACAUGCAAGUCGAACGGUAAGGCCCUUCGGGGUACACGAGUGGCGAACGGGUGAGUAACACGUGGGUGAUCUGCCCUGCACUUCGGGAUAAGCCUGGGAAACUGGGUCUAAUACCGGAUAGGACUCCUGGCUUCAUGGUGGGGGGUGGAAAGCUUUUGCGGUGUGGGAUGGGCCCGCGGCCUAUCAGCUUGUUGGGGGGGUAAUGGCCUACCAAGGCGACGACGGGUAGCCGGCCUGAGAGGGGGACCGGCCACACUGGGACUGAGAUACGGCCCAGACUCCUACGGGAGGCAGCAGUGGGGAAUAUUGCACAAUGGGCGCAAGCCUGAUGCAGCGACGCCGCGUGAGGGAUGACGGCCUUCGGGUUGUAAACCUCUUUCAGCACCGACGAAGCGCAAGUGACGGUAGGUGCAGAAGAAGGACCGGCCAACUACGUGCCAGCAGCCGCCGUAA
rnacentral:rRNA from 1 species